GAUGAACGCUGGCGGCGUGCCUAAUACAUGCAAGUCGAACGAAUCUUCUUCGGAAGAUGAGUGGCGAACGGGUGAGUAAUACAUAGGUAACCUGCCCCUGUGCGGGGGAUAACAGGAGGAAACUCCUGCUAAUACCGCAUAGCCAUGAGCACCGCAUGGAGCUCAUGCCAAAUAUCCUUCAGGGGAUAGCGCAGGGAUGGACCUAUGGCGCAUUAGCUAGUUGGCGGGGCAACGGCCCACCAAGGCAACGAUGCGUAGCCGGCCUGAGAGGGCGGACGGCCACAUUGGGACUGAGACACGGCCCAGACUCCUACGGGAGGCAGCAGUAGGGAAUUUUCGGCAAUGGGGGAAACCCUGACCGAGCAACGCCGCGUGAGCGAAGAAGGCCUUCGGGUCGUAAAGCUCUGUUGUAAAGGAAGAACGUCGCAUGCAGGAAAUGGUGUGCGAGUGACGGUACUU
rnacentral:rRNA from 1 species